AAGAGGGUUGAAAAACACUUAUUUUCGUAAGCUUUUAUAGCCCCUUUAAGGUCUUCGAUGCUUUGACUUUUCCCACCAUUUUGCCCCAUUUCACUCUUCUCUAGCGCCGUUCCUCGUGCAUACCUGUUAAGGUCCGCUAUUAAAAUAUCCAUACGUCUUUGCCGGGACGGCCUCUGGGUCUUGUUCAGUUGAUUUUACCUAAAAUUACUUGUUAGACAAUGCCAUUAUCCUUAUAAAUAAAUAUUUUAUCCACUAUAUAUU